rnacentral:lncRNA from 12 species
AUGUAUCUGGCCUGCAUUGUUGGAUCAUUUAUGAUUCUCUUUGCUGCUGCUGAGAGUUCUCAAUAUGAGGCCAUUCAUGAGAUGCUACAGGCUGUCACCUCCCGUGACAAUCAGGAUGAUUGUAAUCCUUCCAAGAUCACCAUAAAAUGUUGUAUAUGUUUGAAAAUGCUAGCGAAAUAUUUACCCAUUAUAAAUAAUAUGAUUGACAAGGUACGUUUUUACUGUUAUUUCUUUUUUCUUUUUAUUCUUUGUUCCAACAAAGCUCACUAUUUGUGCAUUUUAGUUAUAUAUUUAUUUAAAAAUGUUUAUGAAUGUAAUUUUCUAAGCCAUCCUUAGAAAUUGCAUUUGGUAUUAUUAUUAGUCAUAUUAUGGUUACAGUUUUGUUAUUAAUUCUCUCUAUGAAACUGUUCACAGUAAAUGAUGUACUAAUGUAAGUUUAAUUUAUUAAAACUAUCUUUGUUUCCUCACUCAGAAAAUAAACGCUGUAUGCCAUGCCAACUUAUUUCUCUGGAAACCAUGUCAAUCGCUUGCCAAAAAAAUAAAAAAAAAGGUUUUUCAAGGAUUUUUCCCUAAAGGAUCCUGCACUAAGUACAAAAUGUGCAAAUGAAAGGACUGAUUAAACCUGAACUAACGAGUCAGUCAAAGUACCAGAUCUUUAGAUAAGAUUGUUCACUUGUUUGUUUUGGCAGAAGCAUGAACUAAUAAAUAUUCUGUAUGACAAAGCAGCAUGAGCAGAUCAUUCAUUCUGUGUUUUAAAUUCAUCUAGGAAGCAAAUAACUGACAUCUGAAACAAAAAGUCUAAUAAUACUGAUUGUUAUUUAACCAUUUACACUACUAUAAUGUAAUUUAGUGAUUUAAUAUCUGUACACCAGCUUUAAUUCAAUACAUCAAAAAUCAAUAUACCAUUUUUCAAGAAUUCAGGUGCAGUAUUACUGAUGGUUAGGUGAACUGAAGAGACAGUCAGUGUAGAAAAUGCUGACCGGAGCUCUUAUGAAAAAACGCUUGACACUUUGGUCCACAGUGGUUUUGGUGCCAUGAACAUCAGCACUCCAAAAGACUUGCACAAACAUUUAUUAUCUUUCAAAGUUCUUCAUAACUGUGAAGAGGACAAACACAAGAGAGACAGUUUCACGUGAUCUGAAAAUCACCUGAACUCUUAAAGAAAGCAGAUGUGUUUUGGCUUAGUGACUUAUUA